rnacentral:rRNA from 1 species
AUUGAACGCUGGCGGCAUGCUUUACACAUGCAAGUCGAACGGCAGCGGGGAGGAGCUUGCUUCUCUGCCGGCGAGUGGCGAACGGGUGAGUAAUACAUCGGAACGUGUCGAGAAGAGGGGGAUAACCACCCGAAAGGGUGGCUAAUACCGCAUAAAUUCUGAGGAAGAAAGCUGGGGACCUAGGAAUAGGCCUAGCGCUUUUUGAGCGGCCGAUGCCGGAUUAGCUAGUUGGUGAGGUAAAGGCUCACCAAGGCGAAGAUCUGUAGCGGGUCUGAGAGGAGGAUCCGCCACACUGGGACUGAGACACGGCCCAGACUCCUACGGGAGGCAGCAGUGGGGAAUUUUGGACAAUGGGGGCAACCCUGAUCCAGCCAUGCCGCGUGUAUGAAGAAGGCCUUAGGGUUGUAAAGUACGUUUGUUAGGGAAGAAAAGUCAGCUGUGAAUAAUGGCUGAUACUGACGGUACCUAAAGAAUAAGCACCGGCUAACUACGUG